rnacentral:lncRNA from 1 species
GAGUCCCGGAGCGGUGAGCGGCGCCGUCGGGACCCUCGGCCUGCGCGGCAGGAAGAGGCGGCCACCGCGGAACCACGCACCGCUCAGGAGUGAGUUCGCCCGAGCCACGGAGUUCCUGUUCAGUCUUUUGCAGAAGACGCUGAGACAGAAAGGUCAAGUAACUCUCCUGAAGUCACACAGCUGUUUCAAAUGCAGGAUGUCUCACACCAGGACCGCGCCAGGACCAUGGUGUGGGGCAAGAGCUUCCUGUCACCCCACACCUCCCAGCAGGAAGGUGGUGUGGAUCCGAGGCAGGGUGAGGGUGGGGGAUAGCGGGUUGGCAGAGUGCACGGCCUCCCACUAGGAGGAGCAAGGCUAGUGAAGCAGGACCGGCCACACCACGUCCACCUUGGUGCCUUCUGACAGGUCAGUCUGGGCCCCAGUCCCUGGUUCCUGGUGAGCUUCCCAUCACCCCCCACCUCCCUGCGUGCCCAGAUCGGCAUUGCAUCUGGAGCGUUCCGAAGAGAAACACAACCUGGGGGCGUUGGUAACAGCAGGUCUGAUACCAUGUGGAAAGUCUGCUCCUGGGGCCAGCUGGAGGCCAUGUGGACUGGCCCUGAGUGCCCACUGUCUGGAUGCAGCCCUGACCCUACUGCCCGUGUGUGGGCUACUAGGUUCACCUGCACCUGACCCUCCUUCUAGGUUCGCCUGCACCUGACUCCCUGAUGUUCACACAGUGAUUUGGAGAGGGAGGCUGGGGAGGCGCAGGUCUGCAUGGCAGUGCCUCUCAGGGUCUGAGGCCCUUGGGCCAGGCCUCUCCUCUGACCUGGGCCAGCAGAGGGGCCUCCUUUCCCUUCCAAGAGCCCUCCCCUGUUCACCAGCAUCUCAUCAUGCUCAGGCCCACAGUGUGGUUAAGGAGGGGCAUGGGGCUGGCCCUGGGUUUCUGGCUGGGUGUGGGGGCCUACCCGGGGCCCAUGGUGUCUUCCAGAAAAGACCCUGACUGGGUCCAAAGCUGGAGGCACCCCUCUAUCCUCACUGUCCACUCCCUGAUGUUCUGGAGGUCCCUCCAGGGGCUGGGUGAGGAGGCCUUCCCCACCACCUCCUUGUCUUCCUGGGAAGCAGGCACCCGUUCAGAGGCCACGUUCCCACAGGACCAGGCUCCUCACCCCCAGCAUCACCCUUUUCCACGGGGUUGUGCCCCUUCCUUGGUCCUGUCCACUCACACACACCCGUGUCCGUGUCCAUGUUCACACCUGUUCUGUGUCCACUCCCACACACCUGUGUCCACUCCCACACCUGUGUCUCGUGUCCACUCGCUCACACCUGUACUGUCCGUGCCCACUCACACGUGUCCCGUGUCCACUCGCUCACACCCGUGUCUCAUGCCCGCUGGCUUACACCAGUCCCGUGUUCACUGGCGCACCUGUGUCCCAUGUCUUGUGUCUGCUCGCACAUCUGUGUGAUGUGUUCACUUGCUCACACGUGUCCUCCACUACCACACCUGUGUCCCAUGUCCACUCACACACCUGUCUUGGUCUGGGACACCUGGGCCCCACUCUCCCCUGCACUCCUCAGGCUGGCGGCAGAGGCCAGAGGAACGGAGUUCUGGCGCUGGAAUCAUCCUGAGCGAGGCAGGGACCUGGCGGUGUGGACUCCACCGCCCCUCCUCCGGCCCACCGAGCCCCGCCUGCCUGGGCCUUGGUGCCUCUGUCGCUGCUCCGGGUCCCCCUGCUGGGGCCCCUCCGCCGCUGGGCUGAGGCUGGAGCCUGCCUCCCGCCGCCAGAGGGAGGAGGUCAUAAAUAACCCUGGGGCUGCCAUGGAGCAGACGGUGACCCCAGACGUCCUGGGGGAGUGUGGGGGCGCCAGGGGCCGCUGCCCCAGCCCGCAUGCCGCCUCCGCCAUCCGGGAGUGCCUGCCCAGGCUCCCCAGCAUUUCUCUUAGAGCCCUUCUCAUCCAUCCCCUCAUCAAUCAAUCAACCAUUUAUUGAGCCCAGAUGUGGUACAGCCCCAGCCGGAGAUGACCCAGAGGUGGGGUGGGGAGGAGAGAGAUGGGGAAGCUGAGUCCGGGGCCACAGGUGCAGCCAGGAGGUGCAGGUGAGCAGCGCUCAGACCAGCCUGUCAGCCUCAGUCCUGAGCUUACUUCUGGUGAUGGAGGGAGAUAUACAGAAAAGAUCCUGCAGCCUGCAGGUGUGGCACAGCUGAUCUUGGGCCAAGGAUGCACAGCUGUGUGUGUGCCUGGCCACCGGCAAGGGCACGUGGGCUCAGAAGCACAGGUGUGCCCACACCCUGCGUGCCUGUGUGUGGCGCAGCAGCUCCCGACGCGCGCAGGACACACACACAGCACAGACAGACCCUCCCAUGGCCACACGGACAAAGAUGGCUUCACUAUAGACACCGGUGCAGACAGGAUGUGCACUGCUUUCCAAGGCCUGUGCGCAACACAGACUCAGGGCCUGUGGGCAUCAGCACCGCCCAGACCCAGGCACACGUGAUCCUCAGCCAAGGUGGCCUGUCCAGUCCUGGUGCUGUUGGAUGGAAAGGCUAACCUGGGAGGUCAGGGGCUGUGGUAUAUCAGCUGGGCUCCCUCGGACGCUCCUGCAGAAGUGGCCAGGACCUCAGGAACGCACCUGCUCCUGGUCAGACAGGAGGGGCUGCCGUGAUGCAACUUGCCCGUGCCUUUGGGUGCUGUGAGCUGGCUGCGUGCCACGUCGUUUCGAGGACGCAAGAAGGUGUUUCCAAGUCCAGUCUGUCCACCGACCUGAACCUUUACCAUUGAAAGAACAAAGGGGUGGGGCCCGAGGGACCCUUCCCUGCCGUCCCGUGGUGUGUAGUCAGGGAUGCUCCUGCAGACACACAGGUGGGCUCUGACUGCCAGAUCGCAGGGGCGGUGCCGUGGUCCUCACCUGCCAUGUCACUAGCGUGCUGACGCAGACACCGGCGAGAGCUACAGUGCUCGGCCCGGCACAUCCCAGACAAUUCCUCUGUAAAUGCUGCAGCAGCCAGAGGCCCCAGCACCUUGAGGUUAAGCAAAGAGAAGGAAUAGAGUUCUCCAGAGCCCCAAGGAGCGGGAGGGUCUGUCCCAAUGGAUGGGCUCAGCCAAUUUCACCCUCUCCUCCCCCUGCCAACACUGCGGCCUGCAGCCUGGACCUGGCCCGGGUUGUGGAGGGGACCGGGGAUGCAGCUGCCACCUGCUGGGCGGACGUGGGCCUAGGUGGUCCUCAGCCCUCAUGACAGGAGCCCCCGAAGCACUGUUGCGGCACCCUCUCUGACAUUGGGUGGGAGACUCUGGGAGCCGAGUGCAGAGCCAGGGCCCAGCACGAAGGCCUUGGGCUCCAGUCCGUGUGCCCCACAUCCCUACAUGAGUGAGGGUGGAGGGAUGGUGCCUCUGCCACGGCCACGGUGCCGCCGUCCACGUCAGCUCACUCUCAGCACAGGUGCUGUGUGACGGCCUCGGGCCACACCGCUUGUUCUGAGGCCCCUAGCAGGUCGGGCUUGUGCUGGCUGCACAUUGGCUGGUGAGCUUGGCGGGUCUGUGGGCACGGAGAGACCAGAACGUGCGUAACAGGCCCGAUGAGGGUGCCAGGCUGUGGCGACCCCCGAGCUUCAGAGGAGAGGGGCACCAGCCGGGGGCCCUGCACAGGCAGCCUCAGGUGCGAGGAGCUGGAGCCCAGGCCAGCUGGGGAGGGGUGGGGUGCCGUGGCUGGAAGUUGCUGUUCUCAGACCUGGUUCUGAGACCCUCUCCAACUGCAUGGGGGGGUCCAGGCUGGACCCCAGAUGUGACGGUGUAUGUGCUGGGAUGGGAGCCCCCUGAGAGCAGGGCUUUUGUUAAUUCACCGGCAAUCCCACAUGUCUGGCACGAGAUAGGUGCUCAGUCAGUGAAAACCACACACGGGGUCCUCCAUUGUGUCCAGGGGAGGGUGGGCCCUGCUCACAGCCAGACUCCUAGCCCUGGGCAGCCCUGCUGCCUGCCUGCUCCUUCCACUCCUACCACCUGCCCAGGUGGGACUCUGCCUGCCUUCCUGUCCCCAGUGCUCUGUAGGAGUUUGACCACAGGUAUCCUCUUCAUCAGAGAGAGGAAAGCUCACGAUCUGGGAGAACUCCAGGCCUGGCCCAGUGAAGACGUCCUUAUCUUCAGCAGACAUUGCCCAGUGCAAGGGGAGGUCAGUCUCAGGAGACAGUCUCCUGGACAGUGGCGUGGCAUCUGUCCUAAGGCCUUGCCUGCAGCACAGGGUGCCACAGAGGUCCCCUGUGACAGAGCCUCAUGGCUGGGGCAGGCGGGGGUCGCACCUGCUCCUGCAUGAAGAGGCAGAUAAAGACCCACAGCAUGGUCUCUGGGGUCCCACAUCCCAGGUAGAGAAUGACCCAGGUCGCUGGCGUCUGUGCCAUCUCUGCUCCACUGACCACUCAUGGGGGUCCUGGAGAUCCUGACACCGGUGGCCGGGGAGCAGCAGCCCAGGCACAGGCCCCAGUGCACAUGCAGAUCCCACCGUGUCUGCACAAGGCCUUGCCCCAACGAGGCCUGGGUGCCGUGUGAGGGCCGGGACGCUAACACAGCGGAGGGUACCCACGCGUGAGCUGCUCUGGGGUCCCUCCCCGUGUUUCUUCCUGUAAUGAAACUUGUACCCAAAUGGGAUAUGCAGGGUUGCACUGUGCAGUCGCUGUGUGUUUUAGGGUCUCAUACCCGUGUGCGCCAGCAGGACCACAGCUGUGACCGGCUGCUCCAGAAGAAGUGGGUGGGUUGAGACCCCACCGGCAGGGUCACUGGGGGUAGCAGGCCCUCUGUCAGCACUGACUUCUGUAUCAUGUCAGGGAUUUUUAGGGCGGCAAGCUCAGGUGGACAGGCAGUUUUAUUCUGUUUCCCAUGUCAAGUCCAGCCCCAGACUGACUUUCUGAGGUCACAGACGGAGCCUCACCCCAUCCAAGGCGGUGUCCUGGACUCCCACUGUGCUCCCCAGAGGGCAGGGUGAGUGCGUGGCAUCCUUUUGGCGGGCGUGGGUGCCUCUGUGGACCUGGCGUGAGGCUUCUCUGUUUCUGAGUCUCCUAUGGACCAUCUGUCUUCUGUGUGGCUGCUGAGGAAUCACACUGGGGUGGCCGUGCCGGUGGCUGAAUGAGAACAGGACCCCCAUGCUGCACAGCCCUGCUUAACGCGGGGGUGGCCCCAGAAGCGGGUGGGCGAGGCUGGGCAGCAGGGAUUGGCUGAAAUCAUAUGCAGAGCCCAAGAGGCAGGGGAAAGGCGGCAAUUUCAGGGUCCCUUUGUUCGCCAGGUACCUGGGGCCCAGCCCGGGCGGCAGGAGGGACUCAGCCCCUCGCCCAGGCAGGAAGGGUCCCAAGCAGAGGCCCCUCCCUCAGGCACUCCCCAGCCCACACCUGCAGCACUGGGACCAAGACUAAUAAAACACCAGCCUCACGGAAGACAGCUUUAUCUUGUUGAUCGGAAGUCUGCCAGCCCAAUUUAUGAUGGAACAUAAGAUCUCUAAAUCUGAAUUUACGCUCUGUAGCGUAACGAGAGGUCAAUAAGAUUAAACGGGGGCUCAGGAGAGGACCAGCGUCAGGCUCACUGCGAGGUGCUGCACAGAAAACCCACAGCCAGAGCCCCUGGGCCCAGCCCAGGCAAGACCAGAAAAGGAGGGGGCAGGUGGGAGACCAGCCUGGGGCUCCCGGGAAGCCCACGGGAUGGAGGCGGGAGAGCCAGGAGGCCUGGGGCAACCCUGGGACGGUUCCUGGAUCGAGGAGAGCAGGGGGGUGAUGAGGGUUCCCUCAGGGCUGGGGAGCCUUCUCCUGGUCUCAGACCCACCCCCCUUCAGCUCCCAAGCCCUGGGUGCCCCUGGCUCUGAGGACAGUUGGGAAUCUUCCCUGAGGCAGGUUCAAGGACAGAGCUCUGACCCUGGCCCAGGGCUGCUUUGGGUGCCUAUGAACUCGGCUUCUGGCUCAGAGCAGUUCCCUGCACCCCUUCCUGAGCCCUCUGUCCUCUGGAACCCGUGGGCAGGGUGAGGGACGGGUGUUCCUUCUGGGUGGGGGCCUGGGCGCCCAGCCAGCACGACGCUGGCUUGCUGAGCUUAGGGCAGACCCCGACUUCAGAAUUUAUACAAAUAAAUGCAAUGAAAAGUGCUGGCAACCUG